CCACUAGACUGGAAGCUCUGUGACAAUAUCAAGGUGUCUGCUCUGUUCAUUGUAUCUGGCACCCAGCACAGUGGCAACAAAUAGAAGGCAUACUCACUACCUAUUUGUUGAAGUUUAAAUUCCAUGAUUCUAAAAUAUAUUUCAGACAGUUUCUUCAUCAUGAAACUGCUGAAAUGGAAUCGACAACCAUCAGACAUACUUUUUCAACAAAUUAAGGGAACAGCUCCAAUAAGUAACAAGGACUUACUGAAUAGCACAGGGAAAGUUACUCAAUAUUCUGUAAUAACCCACUAAGGAAAAGGAUCUGAGGAAGAAUGGAUACAUGUACCUGUAUAAUUGAUUCACUUUGUUGUACACUCAUGCAACAAUCAUCAAUGAAGCGUCAAGAGAGAAAAAAGGCACACGUGAUACAUCCUAAUCAGUAACAUUAUUGUUUGAUUUGACCCCCAAAGCAAUCUCACCUCACAUUUCCACACAUGCUGAAAAAUAUUUGAAAUGAAAAUCAUGAAGUAUCAAAAAUAUGUUUAGAGAGACUAUGAUUAUUUCACUGAAUAAAUGUUUUAUAGAGUAAUUUCUUAAAUUUGAUGAAGUUAUUGGGGGCCAUUUGCUGUUCCUACGUGGGAAGUUUAUUUUUAAUGGAAAGGUUUUCAGGACAGUCUGUUGUUGCAGACAUCGGUCAGUUGACUUAAUGCUAGCUGCUGCAACAAGUGAACAGCAAACUGUCAGCAAUCUGAUCCUAAGAGAAAUUUAACUUUCCUUUGUAUCAGAGCACCACACAGGCACUCCUGAUCAGAUGAAUUUUCUGAUUCGCUCUGCUCCAAACAAUGAUUUGAUGACAUGGGAACCUGCUAUUGUGUGGCCUUGGCAUAUUCUAUGUAUGACUUCAAAUUUCUCAAUAGUGUUCAGGUUUUUUUUUUUUUUUUUUUUUUCCUAGUUUCAGGAAAGGGAGUAAGUAUGGGGAUAGCAUGGGAUGUUUUCAAAGGCCAGGUCAGUACAGGGCAAUGUCAUUUCUGCUCACAUUAGUUGGCCUGAACUGAUGCUCUUAGGAAUCCAAUCCAGAGAAGUUUGGAAAUGAUUCUGUGACUAAUGUUAGUUGAGAAAAGUUCACUGAAUGAAAUCACCUUUCAUUUUACACUGUUUACAAUAAUGACAUUCUGGGUGGGAAAAAAACAACCAAUGUUUUUGUAUGAACACAGGUUUUAAAAAACAAUCUCAGCCAAGGUAUGAUUCCUUAAUAUCAACUUAGGUAUAUUGAUUUGGCUGCCACUCAUUAGAGUUCUAGCAUGACCGAUUCUGAGAGAAGGAUUCAGGUUGAUUCCCUAAGGCAUAGGCUAAUGAGGAAAAUAUCCCCACCUGUAGACCCAUUACAACUGGUUUCCUUUUUCCCUGGGGAGACAAGAAAACUAUGAUCAGGCAGCUCCUUGCAAGUCACUGAGGAUCACUGAACUAAAAGUGAGAGCGAGUGAGUAUUCCCUUUAAAUCCUGGCCUGAUUUUUAUCCUGAUCUUCUGAAUACUAAAAAUGCAAACUUGAAGAAAAUACUCUGGCAAAUAAUCUUCCAAAAAAUUCCUCGUAUGAUAUUCCAUUAUAACUUCCCUUGUAGAACCAUGAAGAGUUUAUAAAGUAUCUUUAUUGUCCUCUCACAUCACAUCUAUAUAACAUAUGUCGGUAUUAUUACCCCUCAUAUUAUACCAUGAUUGUUCCCUUCAUGAAUACUGACUGAGCUCCUGAAAUGAUAGGGGCUGGACUAGAUGUCUAGGAAUCAAGACAGACAUCUUGACUUGAUGACAGACAUCAGAUAGUUUCUCUCCCUUUAGGUAUUUUCUAGAUUCCGGGGAAAUAUUCUGAGGAGAAAAUAGUUCAGGUAAUGUCUUAGUCUACUCCUGUAAAGAGAAGAAAUGUUUUUCUCACAGUACUGGAGUCAGGAAAUCCAAGAUCAGGGUGUCAGUGUGGUCGGGUUCUGGCAAGAUCCUGCUUCAGGUCUCACACUGCAGAGUCUCCUGUAACCUGACAGGGCAGAACAGUGAGGGGUUUAUCUCAGACAUCUUUUAUUAGGGCCCUAAUUCCACCUGUGAGGUCUCCAUCCUCCCUAAUCAGCUCCCAAGGACCCACCAUAUAAUAGCAUCACUGGAGUUUAGGACUGCAUAAUUCGAAUUUUGUAGAUCCUCAAACAUUCAAAACCUAAAGUCUUUAAAGCUGCAAGCCUGGCAUCUGGAAUUAAGAGUAGAGUGUUGGUGAGUCAAAAAGAAGAAUGAGCAGGGUGGCAGGAAAAAGGGAAGACCAAGGACUCAGAAUCCAAACUCUUGAUUUUUGACCUGAACUAAUGCUCCCAUUAUUAUGUUGCAGAUUUUGUGUAUCAACCUGAAAUGGAGUCCACCAUCCCAUGGAAGAGGAUGAAAAUAUAGGAGGCAAAUGAUUUUUCAUCUUUUUUGUGAGGAGUCUCCAAAGAAUUUCAGGAUAAAGGUAGUAACAGCCUCAUUUAUAGAACCACCAAGAGUAACUGGGUAAAUGUCUGGUUGCUGUGAGCUGUGUGAAUCAUGGCGAGUCUGAGUUUAGAUACAUGGCUUUAUCUGACACCAAGCUAUUUAUUUUCUAUUAUGACAUAGUAGAGGGCAAAUUAGAGAUGAAGCCAUCCUUGGGCAUUUAAUAUGGUCACAGAGGUGAAUAAAGCAAAUGCUAAACCUCUUCUUUAGGAGCA
rnacentral:lncRNA from 1 species